AUUCGGUUGGUUGUAUCUUGUGCAUUCAUUUGGGUGUAUUUUAUACCUGUAUCUUAUUUUGUCUGAAUAACACGAAAUCUGUUUAGAAUACCGGCUGUGAACUUGGGAAGUGAUGAUCCUUCCUCUCAAGGACGCACAAAACAGAGUAGUGUAAACCAGCCGUCACAGAGCAUGUUGAGUCCGACUGAUUCGAAUAUGAUGGUUGUGAGGGAACAAACACCGUCGGAAGCGCUUGCAGUAGUCCCGAUCCAGGUUUUUGUGCCGGCAUCCCAAACAACCACUGAGUCAGAUUUUGAACCAACCCCUAUGCUACUGAUUGAAGGGACUACAGAAAUGUAAGAAAUAGUAUUGGGUGUAUAUUUGUUUAGAGUUUGGGUGUAUAUUUGCUAACAGUUUGGGUGUAUAUUGUUCCUGAUCAAUUUUUUUUACGCCAAGAUUAAUUUUGUGUAACUGUGCAGCACUCCUGAACCCCCCAAACAACUUUAAGAAACCACACCCAC